GGAGUUGUAGCUCAGUGGUAGAGCACUUACCUCGUACAUGUAAGGCACUAGGUUUGAUCCUCAGUUCCA
rnacentral:tRNA from 1 species